rnacentral:rRNA from 1 species
UACAGAGGUGGCAAGCGUUGUUCGGAAUUACUGGGCGUAAAGGGCGCGUAGGCGGUCUUGUAAGUCUUGUGUGAAAUCCCUCGGCUUAACUGAGGAACUGCACGGGAUACUGCUUGACUUGAGAUCGGGAGAGGGAAGCGGAAUUCCGGGUGUAGCGGUGAAAUGCGUAGAUAUCCGGAGGAACACCGGUGGCGAAGGCGGCUUCCUGGACCGACACUGACGCUGAGACGCGAAAGUGUGGGGAGCAAACAGG